GGGUGCGAUUAUACCAGCACUAUUGUACCGAAUCCCAUCUGAACUGCCUAGUUAAGAGUGCUUGGGCAAGUGCGAUAAGGGGUAGCCUUUAUAUAAACAGAAUGCACAAG
rnacentral:rRNA from 1 species